UGGGAUCGCCCUUACUCCUACGGGAGGCAGCAGUGGGGAAUUUUGGACAAUGGGGGCAACCCUGAUCCAGCCAUCCCGCUUGUGCGAUGAAGGCCUUCGGGUUGUAAAGCACUUUUGGCAGGGAAGAAAAGGCGCUGGUUAAUACCUGGCGCCGCUGACGGUACCUGCAGAAUAAGCACCGGCUAACUACGUGCCAGCAGCCGCGGUAAUAAGGGCGAUCC
rnacentral:rRNA from 1 species